rnacentral:rRNA from 1 species
CAAUCCUGGUGGCGAGUGGCGAACGGGUGCAGCUAAUACAUCGGCAACGUGCCCUGUUUGUGGGGGAUAACUAGUCGAAAGAUUAGCUAAUACCGCAUACGACCUGAGGGUGAAAGCGGGGGGACCGAAAGGCCUCGCGCAAUAGGAGCGGCCGAUGUCUGAUUAGCUAGUUGGUGGGGUAAAAGCUCACCAAGGGCGACGAUCAGUAGCUGGUCUGAGAGGACGAUCAGCCCCGCCUGGGACUGAGACACGGCCCAAACUCCUACGGGAGGCAGCAGUGGGGGAAUUUUGGAACAUGGGGGGGCAAACCCCUGGAUCCC